ACAAGCGGUGGAGCAUGUGGUUUAAUUCGAUGCAACGCGAAGAACCUUACCUACUCUUUGACAUCCAGAGAAUUUGCUAGAGAUAGCUUAGUGCCUUCGGGAACUCUGAGACAGGUGCUGCAUGGCUGUCGUCAGCUCGUGUUGUGAAAUGUUGGGUUAAGUCCCGCAACGAGCGCAACCCUUAUCCUUUGUUGCCAGCGAGUAAUGUCGGGAACUCAAAGGAGACUGCCGGUGAUAAGCCGGAGGAGGGUGGGAUGACGUCAAGUCAUCAUGGCCCUUACGAGUAGGGCUACACACGUGCUACAAUGGCAUAUACAAAGAGAAGCGAACUCGCGAGAGCAAGCGGACCUCAUAAAGUAUGUCGUAGUCCGGAUUGGAGUCUGCAACUCGACUCCAUGAAGUCGGAAUCGCUAGUAAUCGUAGAUCAGAAUGCUACGGUGAAUACGUUCCCGGGCCUU
rnacentral:rRNA from 1 species